rnacentral:lncRNA from 13 species
CACAAAAUGAAAUAUGGAUCUCUGGGCUCCACAGUGAACAGACACAAGAAUGUGAUAUGGUCACAUUUAUGUUAAUGAUGCAUAGGCAGAUUGUGUGCAUUACUAUAAUCAGGUAACUGGAUCUUUUUUGCCUAAAUUUGGCUGGAAUCUUAUUGUUCUUAUUUUGUUUCCCUUCAGAGUGAUUAAACUGCAUGACUUAGGCUAUGGCAUCUGGAAAACAAGCAAAUACACAAUGUGCCUGCAAUUCAAAUUUUGACAUCCAUGUAUACUGCCUGGAGCUGGCAUCUGCUACAAGAAACACUGUGGAGAAAAGGGCAAAAAAAUGUCACUCAAGCUGCUUUUAUUCAGGGUGCUUCUUCUGCAAGCCCAAUCAGCCUCUUUCCCUGACACACUGCCAGUGUUCAUCUUUCUCCUGUUAGGAAACUUGGUCAGUGCUGCUGGCCACAGGCAAAUUCUGUAACAUAUCUCUGCAGAACACCUUUUUUAGGACUCAUUGUCAUAUUUGGCUCCACAUUCCUAACACAGUUACUGAAGCAUCCCCAGUGCGGAAAAGUGCACAAAACCUGCCGUGGUGGAUGAAACACAUGGUCCAUCUAGCACAACAUCCUGUUUAAAACAGAGAAAAGCCUGUCUGCUUCCAAGGAAGUGUCUGUGUGGACUAUGUCUUCAGAUGAGUCUUCAGAGGAGCCUUUGACCAACUGAAUGCAUCCUCAUUCAAGCAUGUCUUAACCUGGAUACAAGAGACUUCACUCCCUCAUCUUUUUUGUGAUGUUAAUUCAAAUAUUUCUUAGAAUCAUAAAGCUAUGAAAAAACUGAAAAAAAAAAAUUCAAAGCUGGUUCAGGAGGCUAUGAGCAUGUGUUGUCUGCCAGCAUACCCUGCAGGUGACCCCACUGGGCUCUGAUCCUUCAGCGGUCCUGUGAAGAAUAAGUCUGCUUUGUCUUCUCUCUAAUUACAUUAGAAGUGGGAAAAAAAGCAGACUCCCAGCGUCAGGAACAUGAGGGUUUAGAGCUGCUACGGAUGAAACCAUUUUCCUCCUAGACUGUAGAAAGUGGACUAACUUCAUCAAGGUUGGAAAUAGCAGGUGAUACCAGACAGGCUUCAGCCUCUUCAGCCCAGACUGAGCAAAGCUGCUGUGUUCAAGCUGCUGCUGGUGCUCUCCUAACAGGGAGAGCAGUGUAAUUAAGCAGCGCAAUUAAGCAAUGCAAUUAAGGCAUGCAAUUAAGUCAUAUUCUGCCUUAAAACACAGACUGUUAAUGUAUGUAUAUCCUGCUUUUUUGCUAGUUCUGUAUUCACCUUGCUUUGUUUCCAAAACUACUUGAGGAUACAAAUCAUGAAGAACAAUGGAAAACUGCUUUGCAACAGCGUGCUCUUCCUUUCCUUAUUCUCUGUACCAGAAAAAUGGUGUUGACACUCUAAUAAUUAUAUCUGGCUGUGAAGAUUUAGCUAUGUCCUACAGCUAAUAGCAAUUUCUAGAAUUUACCUCACUAGGGAAACUUGAGUAGUUACAUAUAGUCAAAGUUUCAAUCACUCUUAUGAUUGUUUAUACAGGUCUGCUCUCUUUAUUGCAUCUGUAGAUGCUCUUACCUGGUGACGCUUCCUAUCACCUCCAAUAAAUAUAGAUAUUCUCAGUAGAUACAAUGCUUAGUCAACACAUUUAGAUUCUAAAAAUAAUGUAUGUGUAUGAUAGCAGAUCAUAGAAUGUUGUUUAGUUUUCCUGCUGUUUCAAGAAGGCACAAGUCAAACAACUUGCUAUUUUUAAGUUAAAAAUCAAUUCACUUGACUAAAGUCCAGCUUAUCUGCAUUACUAUUGAUUUCUUUCAAGACAUGGCCCCAUGGACUAUUUAGGAACACGGUUCAUUAUUUAUUUCAAUAGUAUUUCAUUGGCUGAUUUUUACUGAACCGGUUGAAUAAAGUUAAAUUCUCUCAUAUGUUCUGAGACACAAUGUAAUAUGAAUAACACCUUAGUCUCUAAAUGUGAAAGAAGUUGAACAUUAUGUAUUACAAAAAAGGAGCCCAUGAGAUGAAUCAUUUAUAUAAAGCCCUUUGAAACAUUUAUACUUUUGAAUACAGCAGUGGCAUUUUUUUUAGAAAUGAUAAUGUAAGAAAACCAACUGCAUAUUAGUAAAUUGCAAGGUUGUACAGAAUUCUCUGGGCUGAAGGUCUGGGCCCAUAAAAACAUCUGCUAGAAGAGGAAAUCCAAAAUCUAUAGCAG